rnacentral:rRNA from 1 species
GACGAACGCUGGCGGCGUGCUUAACACAUGCAAGUCGAGCGACUGCAUUCUUUUCGGAGGGUGUAUGGAGCGGCGAACGGGUGAGUAACACGUGAGUAAUCUGCCUUUGGCUUGGGAAUAACUUCGGGAAAUCGGGGCUAAUGCCUGAUGUUUACUGUCUGCUGCAUGGUGGGUGGUGGAAAGUAUUUUUUGGCCGAGGAGUGAGCUCGCGGUCUAUCAGCNGUUGGUGGGGUAAGUGGCUUAUCAAGGCGUUUGUACGGGUAGCCGGCCUGAGGAGGGUGUUCGGCCACACU